rnacentral:tRNA from 1 species
UGGAUCGUAGACUAAUAGGUAAGUCACUGAAAUUUGAGUUCAGUUUAUGAAAGUUCGAAUCUUUCCGUUCCAU